CGCACACAUAUACAAUAUAAUCUAGGCAUAUAAAAAUUCAAUCAAUUGUGAUUCCAAAAGGAUUUGUAUUUCAAAUUCAAUUCCAUUGGCCAUUGUCACCCACUGCGGUGCGGUGGCGUGGCAAAGAGCGAACUUGUCGGCUAGGCCAUGAAAUGGGAUUAGAUCAAAUCUGAGCUAAUAGAAAAAUUCUAUUAUUUUAAUAUAUUAUCUGAAAAAUGAAUUACAAAACUUCGGCGAAAGGUGGUCCUGCUGAAAUCACGAAAUGUCCAAAUAGAUCGGAAAUCUAUGUGGUUUACUUACAAUUGGAGUAUAUUAAAUAUAUUACAAUAAAACAUGACCAAAAGUAAACUGUUCAGUGUGAACAACAAGUUCUCUCCAUCGAGCUCUAUCGUUGGCCAAAGCCUUUGCUUGAUUCCACGAUAAACUAACGAUUACAGAAACAUCAACAAGGAAUAAUGGAAAUGUAAAACUUAAACAAAUUAAAAAAGUAUAUGUCAAAAAAAACUUUUUUCAAGCCUUUUUUGGGCCUGAAAAAUAACGGCCUUAUUCAAAAAACUUAAUGAAGCCCUCAUAUAGGUUCUUUUUUGUAAUCUAUCAAAUAAACCUAUUUCAAGUCUAUGA